GGGUGUACACUUGUUUGGUGAACUGAUGUUGUUGGGAGGUUUGCGUUAUUCAUGAGAAGCAUUGUCUGCUUUGUUGAUGCUGAUUUAAGAGGAAAUGGGUGUGAGAGGAGUAGCCCAAUUGUCUGUUUUCAUCAUUAUACUUUUUACUAUAGUGGCAGCAGAUCCCGCGAGUAAUGGGCUAGAGGAUCAUUUACUGGCCAAUCAAAUCAGUUCUGUGGGGAUUAACCAGGAAUUGGCUGAGGAGUUAUGGUUGAACUGUAGGCUAGAGUUGGUACAUUCUAAUGAAGCUGUUGAAGAUCUUGAGUUUAGUCAUCCUGGAGAAGAAGCAAAUGGGAUCUUCACUAACAGAAGAUCAUUAACUAAAAAUAAAGAGAAAAAUGC
rnacentral:misc_RNA from 1 species